rnacentral:rRNA from 1 species
CCCCGAAAUAGCUUUAGGGCUAGCCUCAAGGCGAGAGAUACGGAGGUAGAGCACUGAAUGUCCUAGGGGGUAUUGCACCUACCGAAGACUAUCAAACGCCGAAUGCCGUCAUCUUAUACUUGGGAGGCAGACUGUGGGUGAUAAGAUUCAUAGUCGAAAGGGCAACAGACCAGAUCGUCAGCUAAGGUCCCUAAAUGUAAGUUAAGUGGUAAAGGAUGUGGGAUUGCACAGACAACCAGGAUGUUGGCUUAGAA